GCAAGUUAAAUAUUGAAUAAAAAAUAAGUGCAAUAAGAAAUAAAAAAAAAUUUUUUUUUAACUUCGAAUUGACUACUAGAAAGUUUAGUUGCUUAUGAAAUAAUAUUGUGCUUGAAAAUAUUUAUGUGCAUUAUAACUAUCGUACAAUAAUGUAGUAUUUUAUUGAAAUUUAUACAGACAUAGUAUACUUUUGACUCAGUUAAGUAGUAUAGAUUAGGUAAAAAAUCGUGGAUAAUUACUCUCUAAAUAUGAAUUAGUGAUUUUUCACUAAUUUUAAGUGAAUAUUCAAUAAUUGUCAAUGCUACAAUCGUACCACGCAGAAUUAGUGAAUAUUCACUAAAUGAAUAUGUGAAUAUUAGAAUUCACUGAUUUGAUAAGUGAAUAUGAGAAUCCAUUAAAUUAAAAAGUGAAUAUGGGAAUCCAUUGAUUUCAUUGGUGAAAAAAAAUAUUAUAUUGCGAAAAAAAAUAUAAGACACUUGUAAUUAGAUCCGAAAUGUGAUCAAUGUAUUAGAAUCAUUACUUAGAGGAAGUAUACAUGAUUUUGAUUGAUGAAAAAAUCCCGGUGACGCUGGGCUCGAACCUGCAUCCUUCCGAUUCAAAGUCUUUGAUGCUAUCCACUGCGCUGACCUACGCAUGUGAUCGCAAAAUACAUUAUAAGACACCAGUUCAGUUUAUAAGCUACCAAAAAAAAUUCAUGUGAAUAUGCUGCCUCAUCUCCAGCACCAGAAUUAAAAAUCAUAAAGACUAACAAGCAAUGGCUGAUAUUCAAUGAUAAUUUUUUUUAUUUUUUUGAAAAAAAAAUAUCUUCAGUGCCAUCAUCAUCAAGUAACUCGUAUUGAUGGAAAAAUUGAUGUUCAUACAUUGGCAUCACCUCCCUGUCGGUAGUACAUCCCUAUUUAAUUAAAUAUUAACGUUGAUGCAGUUACAACCGUGAUGACAAGUGUUCGACAGGUAACAAUUUACUUGUGACGUUGCUUGAAGACUUAAUAUCUAAUAGUGGAUAAUCAACUUUUUUUUUU